rnacentral:rRNA from 1 species
CCUACGGGGGACAGCAGUGAGGAAUAUUGGUCAAUGGGCGAGAGCCUGAACCAGCCAAGUCGCGUGAGGGAAGACGGUCCUAUGGAUUGUAAACCUCUUUUGUCGGGGAGCAAAAAGGCCUCGUGAGGCCACAAGUGAGAGUACCCGAAGAAAAAGCAUCGGCUAACUCCGUGCCAGCAGCCGCGGUAAUACGGAGGAUGCGAGCGUUAUCCGGAUUUAUUGGGUUUAAAGGGUGCGUAGGCGGACUGGAAAGUCAGCGGUAAAAUCGAGAGGCUCAACCUCUUUCCGCCGUUGAAACUGUCGGUCUUGAGAUGUCGAGAGGUAUGCGGAAUGCGCAGUGUAGCGGUGAAAUGCUUAGAUAUUGCGCAGAACUCCGAUUGCGAAGGCAGCAUACCGGCGGCGAUCUGACGCUGAGGCACGAAAGCGUGGGUAUCGAACAGGAUUAGAUACCCUAGUAGUC